AUGAGGUUGGUCCAACACUGCCUACGCUUCUGUAGAAGCAGCGAUCGUAAGCACAGACAUAAAAUUGCUCAGAAGGUGCCAGUGUCUGUCACUGUUAUAAUGGCCAUUACAGAAGCAUCCAAAGGACCAGUGAUUAAGAACCCAAUGUUGUUAAACCUGUGCAUACUCAGGACAAGAAUUCUCUGCCUUGCUUCUGCAUGCCUGCUUACCAAGACAGAGAACAGCAAAGGAAAGCUAAUGCAGCAAAGAAAGCUAAGCAAGAUACUGAAAAGUUCUUUGAAGAAACAGAAUGAACAUAAACAGGUCAAGGUCUUGCAUUCCCUCUGAAGAAAAAAAUGUUUCUUCUCCAAGUUUAUCAGCACUCAUUUGGAGUUAGAACAGCCUGGAGUGGUGCCCUGGAACUGAUUUCUGAUGUACCGGAACCGUGUCCCUGGCUGUAUGUAUUAGUCUUCUGGCACCUCCUUCCUUGCAAAAUUAGCUAGGUUUUUAUGAUAUUUUACAUACUGCAUACGUUGAUGACAUCCAUCUGUUGAUUUAUGGUGAUUCUGAGAGCAAUAAAAAGAUGAAUAUAAAAGCUGGAAAGGUAACU
rnacentral:lncRNA from 1 species